GAGGAAACCCCCAUCUUGGUCUGCUGCUCCGUGUAACACGCAGCGGACUCACUCCGCUCUGGGAGUGAGAAGUGACUCACAGUUUUGGUAUCUCCUACGUAAGAGCUUUGGGGGGAUUCCUUGGCUUGCUGACAAGGGAAGGAAGAAAGCAGCAGCAGUGAGGUAAAACACGAUUACUUCCAACUGCCUUGCGGAGGAUAUGCAGUCGCUUGGUUUGACUGGAACAGCUUGCUGCUCUCUGAUGGCACGCGGAGGGAGAAUAAUUAAAAAGGCCAGCAUCACUUACUAAAUUCCUAACUAGCCAUCUGCCCUGACAUCUGGGUAAUACAUAUUUGUAGAAACACAGAAGAUUGGAGUUGAAAGACCUGCUCUCGGGCAACCUCCGCAUUGUGAAGAAGAGAAUAUUGGCCAAACAGGAUUAAUCAGUGUGGCAUUCCACAACUAGUAAGGGAAGAAUCAAAAGGGGAAUGCAGCUCUCUGAAGUCCAGUUCACAACUACUUGGCUACUGAAGCCACAAAAGCUGGUGUAAGAUGUAACUUCAUCAGAAUAUCCUUCUUGCAAAAGAUCUGGAACCACAUUUAAUCUGACAAGGUAACUGACCUACCAGUAAGAAAAAGACAGAUAACUCACCAAAAAGGGGGCAGAUGACUGGAAUAGAGACUUCACACACAAAAAAUAAAUCCAAAUGGCCAAUCAGUGCUUCAAUUCAUUGGAAUUAAGGAAAUGCAAAAUAAGUUGCAAUGAGAGACCACUUCUACACCUCCUGACUUGGCAAAAACUGAAGUCUGGCAAUAACAAGUGCUGGUACGGGUGCCACAGAACAAUGGGACACUCAUACACUGCUGGUGGAAAUGUAAAGAUACUACUUUGGAAAGUAGUUUUGCAUUAAUUAGUAAAGCUGAAAAGAUGCAUGCUCCUUGAUCCCCCCAAAACCCCUGCCAACAACUUAAAGCAGUGGCUCUCAAAGUGCAGUCCCUAUUCCUGGCUAGUAGCAUCAGCAUCACCGGGGAAUUUCUUAGAAAUGUAAACUCUCAAAAGCUACUCAUGUCCUUCUGAAUCAGACACUCUGAGGGUAGAGCCUCGUCAUCUGUGAACCUCCUGGGGAUGGUGAUGAGCUCUCAAGUAGAAGAAGUAUUGCCUAAGAGAAAUCUGUGAGCCUGGGCACAGGACACAUGACAAAAAUGUUCAUAUCAGUAACCACGGAUUCAUCAGCAGGAAUAUUUUGUGUUCUAUUUAUGUAACGGAAUAUUGGACUAUAAAGAAAACGAAUGCACUCCAUGGAUAAAGAUUAUAGUCAUGAUGUUGAAGAAAAGAAGCAAGACACAAAUGAAGAGAAAAAAAAGCCCUGAAGGAAAGCAAGGAAGUGAUGACCGUAAAAUAUAGGAAAAUGGUGAUCAAUAUUGAAGGAGCUCUGAUCAAGAAGGAAUUUGGAUUGGGGGCUGGAGUUUCUGAAGGGCUGGUAAAUGUCCCAUUCUUUGACCUGGGAGGUGGUUAUAUACUCACUUGCUUUAUGAUUAUACUAUAAAUUGUAUAUAUUUGCUCUUCCAAAUACAUAUUACAUUUUACAGUAAAAAUAAACUUUUGUAUCUACUACAGCUUUCAUUGUUGUUAUCAAAAUCAAAUUUAACCAGAUUAUAACCUGCCUAACUUCGUAAAUCUGCUUGAUUCUCCUUCCCAUUAUAAGACAGUCUUCCAUAACAUCACUACUCCUGUUCUCUCUCCUUUUUUUUUUUUUUCUCUUCCAGUUAGGGAAAGAGAAUUGGGGGCAGACUCUAAGACAACAAUUUAUAUCAGCCCAAGUUAUUAUCCCUUCCUCUCCCUAAAUAUGUGAGGAGUCUAAGAGCAACCAGUCUUCUCAAUAAGUGAGGGUAGUAUCAGCCACACGAUACAAGGUUCUAUUGUGACUUUGCUGUUUAUUUGCAACCUUCUUUAGUGAUUGUUGCUAGACUUAAUUCAUGCACAGUUAGAUGGGAAGAAAUAACAUAUUGGAUCUUUUAAGUAUAAGAGUAAUAUAGACAUUGGUUGGCUCAUACUUGAGUUGUCUAAGUUUAAAGCAGAACCUUCUUUUCAAAUAAUUUCGAAGUCAGGUCCUUAUUUUUGCUGUACUUCAAUUAAGAGAGGUGUACUUUGCCCCCAGGUCUAUGAAGAUUGCAUUGAUAGCCAUUUACCCUUCCAUGGAUAAUAUCAUUCUUUCAUCAACAGUAAUGAUCAUGUGAGUACUAACACUUAAAAAAAUAUAGCUUAUAUCAUAA